rnacentral:misc_RNA from 1 species
CCGACUCUACUUCAAGCCUAAGCGCGCGGUUCGAAAAUUCGUGUGACGUCACGACUUCUGGUCAUAAUAAACUUCGGAACGCAUGCAGUGGCUCUUUGCUGAUUGCUGAAGCUUCUUACGUUGUGCGAACGCUGAAGCAGAAUACUUUGAUUUUUUUAUGGUUUUAAGGUUGGAUGUAUUUUAGAGAGUUAUUAAAAUGCCGGGUAGAUGCUGUGUACCAUUAUGUAAGGGAAACUACCCAACAGGACCAAAAGUGUCUGUAUUCUCCUUUCCUAAAAAUGAAGAUUUGAAGAGAGAGUGGCUUUCUGCAAUCCAACGGAAAGACUUUUCACCCAAAAAGAGUUCAAAGGUUUGUGAAUUGCAUUUCAAGGAAAGUGAUUUUAAAGUUGAAGCUUCAGCAUUUGAUUCUAAGAAUGGAAUUUUAAUUUCUGCUCCACUUCAGGUGCGUAGAUUAAAAGAAAAUACAGUGCCAUCGAUAUUUAAGGACUAUCCAUCUGUAUACAGUUGUGCCAUAAUUUACAGAAAGCAUUGCGUGAAAGCCUUAAAGAAUAUGAAAUGUAUAAUAAUGAUUUGAAAAUUAAUUGUUCUAAUGAUAUUUUGUCAUGUAUUGAUCGCUAUGGAAUAUCAGCAUUUUGGCAUGUAUACACAGUUCCAGAUACCUCAACUGUUUGCUUUAUUCAUAUUGUUUUUAGUCCUGGGCCAUCAAUUGAUUAUUCUGUAGUUGUGAAUGACAAUCAAGAAAUGUCUGUAUUUAUUAAAGAAAAAUCUAUUA